rnacentral:snRNA from 1 species
UAGGAACUGUCCUCACUUACUAAAAUUGAAAUGAUAGAGAGAUGAUUAGCAUGGCCCCUGCGCAAGGAUGACAUGCAACUUUGUGAAGUGUUUCAUUUUUUU